rnacentral:rRNA from 1 species
CAGUAGCCGCGGUAAAACGAAGGGGGCUAGCGUUGUUCGGAAUUACUGGGCGUAAAGCGCACGUAGGCGGACAUUUAAGUCAGGGGUGAAAUCCCGGGGCUCAACCCCGGAACUGCCUUUGAUACUGGGUGUCUAGAGUAUGGAAGAGGUGAGUGGAAUUCCGAGUGUAGAGGUGAAAUUCGUAGAUAUUCGGAGGAACACCAGUGGCGAAGGCGGCUCACUGGUCCAUUACUGACGCUGAGGUGCGAAAGCGUGGGGAGCAAACAGGAUUAGAUACCCCAGUAGUCCCUGUCUCUUAUAC